AUCGCUUAGUGGUUAGAGCAGAUGAUUUAAAAUCAUCCAUCGCAGGUUCGAAUCCUGCUU
rnacentral:tRNA from 1 species